rnacentral:rRNA from 1 species
UACGUAGGUAGCAAGCGUUGUUCGGAGUUACUGGGCGUAAAGGGUGUGUAGGCGGUUGUUUAAGUUUGGUGUGAAAUCUCCCGGCUCAACUGGGAGGGUGCGCCGAAUACUGAAUGACUAGAGUGCGGGAGAGGAAAGUGGAAUUCCUGGUGUAGCGGUGAAAUGCGUAGAUAUCAGGAGGAACACCGGUGGUGUAGACGGCUUUCUGGACCGUAACUGACGCUGAGACACGAAGGCGUGGGUAGCAAACAGG